UACGUAGGAUGCAAGCGUUGUCCGGAUUUACUGGGCGUAAAGCGCACGUAGGCGGGUCGUUAAGUCAGGGGUGAAAUCCCAGAGCUCAACUCUGGAACUGCCUUUGAUACUGGCGACCUAGAGUUCGGAAGAGGUUAGUGGAAUUCCCAGUGUAGAGGUGAAAAUUCGUAGAUAUUGGGAAGAACACCAGUGGCGAAGGCGGCUAACUGGUCCGAUACUGACGCUGAGGUGCGAAAGCGUGGGGAGCCAAACAGG
rnacentral:rRNA from 1 species